UUUGGGCAUCCACAGGCUUCCUGCUUUUUCCCACUGCUUUCCAAGUUCCCCAGUUGACAGUGGAAAGGGUUUUCUGAUGUUCUGUUUUGCUGCAAAACUUUCAAUAAGACUAACAAAUCAAGGAGUUGUUUGAAGAGGCAUUUGCAUUAUAAAUCAGUUAUCUCUAAUUAUGGAAGUAUUUAUAUUUAUACAUAUUCAUAAAGUCUUCACACCAAGUAGCAGAUGCAAAAAUCUGAAGGAAAGCAGGAUAAUCCCUAAAAUCCUACUAAAACAAAUCUAUCAUUGAAACACUUUUUCUCUCAAUUUUCUCUAACUUAUCAGUCUCUCUCAAUUUUAAAAUGUUGGACUUCAAAGCUUUGGUCAUAGGUCUUCUCACCCUACUUUCUUUCAAGGUGAUUGAUCUUCUCAGUUCCCAUGACACAAGCAAUUCUAAUUUUAACUUCAGCCCAGACUUUUCCUCUGUCAGCACUAGACCCAUAAAGUCAAAUGCCUUCUUUAGCAUCUCUGCUUGGAGAGUUCUCAUGGUCUCUCCCAACUCAUAUCUAAACAACGCAUGUUCUUCCUUUCUAUACCUGUUCUUAAUUUACUACUAAAUCCUCCUUUGGUCUUGUAAUUUUAUCUUCCUCGUUAAACGUCUUUUGAAUCCGUCACUUUACUUCACUCAUUUCCACUGUCUCCAUCCAGUCUAUCAUCCCCAUCUGGAUGACUACCAUGCAGUCUCUUAAAAAUAUUCUAUAAGGAAAUAUGCCAAAGAGUAUAAAAUGUUCAUUGAUAUGGUUUCUGAUUCCACACUGCAACUAACCUUU
rnacentral:lncRNA from 1 species